rnacentral:rRNA from 1 species
AAGAGGGAAAAAUGAUAUAUAAUAAAACCAAGAAAACCCACCUAACCCAUCGUUAACCCCACACCGGAAGGCCCCCAACAAGGAAAGACUAAAAGAAAAGGAAGGAACUCGGCAAACACAAGCCUCGCCUGUUUACCAAAAACAUCGCCUCCCGCAAAAACCAAUAUAUGGGAGGUCUUACCUGCCCAGUGACAACUAGUUAAAC